rnacentral:misc_RNA from 1 species
GGAUGGCUUUGGCAGGGGAAAGGCGCGGAGAACACAAGAAUGGCCAAACUAAGCCUCCAGUUUGAACCCUUUUCCAUAAUCUUGUUCAUUAUCACGGUUCCUUGGUUCAACCUUUCUCUUUGCUGUCCUCCAUAUCAGAAGGAAGCACUUCUCCAAUUCAAAUUUCUACUACUGGAAAACGUUUCCUCCAAUUCAAACAUGGAGCUUUCUGGGUUAGAGUCUUGGAACUCAACUUCUGACUGCUGUCACUGGGAAAGAGUUCGCUGUCAUAAUUCGCAAAAGGUGACUAGUCUUGACCUCUUUCGUCUCACUCCUUCAGUAGCCAUGAAAACUGUUGUGAAAUCUGAUGUUUUAGCUCCACUCUUUCACCUGCAAACACUCAUCUUUCUUGACAUUUCUUAUAAUGGUCAUAUACAAGGUGAAAUUCCGGGAGUUGGGCUUGCCAAUUUAACUAACCUUGUAAGACUUGACAUGGCUGGUAAUAGUUUGAUCGGCUCCCUUCCUCCCCAGUUGUUUUCUUUAAGGCGCCUGGAGUAUCUUGACGUAAGUUAUAAUUUCCAUGGAGGGAAUGUACCUGCACAGAUUGGAAAUCUCACAAAUUUGAAGUUUUUUUCACUCUACAGCAACAAAGUUUCUGGAGCAAUUCCACCAUCACUGAUGCAUUUGACAAGGUUAGAAUAUUUGGAUUUGGGACAUAAUUUUUUUACCAUGGAAAUACCAACUGAUAUCGGCAACCUCUCAAACAUCUCUUAUUUGAGCUUACGUGAGAACAAUUUUUCUGGAGAGAUCCCUCCAUCAAUUCAAAAGAUGGAAGAGUUAGAAGUAGCAGAUUUAUGUCAUAACAACCUUGAAGGAACUCUCCCUCAAUGGUUAGCUGAUACCGAUAUUAAAUAUUUGCUUUUAUCAAAUAACAAGUUCUCGGGUUCUCUGCCACCUCACUUAUUUCAAUCUCAGUCUUUAAAGUUCCUCAAACUUUCAAAUAAUAAUUUGUCAGGAUUACUACCAGACACUAUAGGUCAAGCCACUGGAAUGAAUAUACUCAGGUUGUCAGGGAACAGCUUCUCUGGACCAAUUCCUACAUCCAUCUCAAAUAUGCUUGAACUUGUGUUGCUGGAUUUGUCAAGCAACAGAUUUUCAGGCAAUAAAUUUCCGGCGUUUAAUCAAAAUUCUUCAUUGCUUUGUAUUGAUCUCUCUUCCAACAAACUAUCUGGUCAGGUUCCUACGACAUUUCCUUUGGGCAUAAAAUUGCUUGUGUUAAGCCAAAAUGAGUUUUCUCACGUUUUGCCUCAAAAUCUCUCAAAUUUGAACCAGUUGGAAUAUCUUGAUCUCCAUAGCAACAACAUUGGAGGUGAAAUCUCAAAUUUUCUCUCACAGAUGUCUUCUCUCCGAGUUUUGAAUCUUAGAAAUAAUUCUUUCCAAGGGUCAAUUCCAAUCCAUUUGUCAAGUCUUAGCACUCUUCAAAUACUUGAUCUCUCAUGCAAUAACCUUAGCGAAAUAAUCCCACGUACUUUGGGAAAUCUUUCUAGGAUGAUCAAUCAUCAUGAUGUCUCAUUAACAAUUUCUGGAAUUGGGCUUACUAGAACUACAAUUUUUCCACCAAAUGGAAAUGAUUUGUUAUUGCGUGAUUUGGAAGUCUUCUGGAAGAAGUUAAAGCGAGGUCUACCAAAUAAAAACCUCCAACUGUAUACUUUUAUAGACCUAUCUAACAAUCAAUUAUCAGGUGAAAUUCCUAACAGUUUAGGUGGGUUGAAAGAUUUGAAGUCACUGAACUUAUCUCAAAACAAACUCUCUGGAAGAAUACCUUUGAGUUUUGGUGGUCUGCAAAGCUUGGAAAGCUUAGAUUUAUCACACAACAAUUUUUCUGGUGAAAUUCCUUACACAUUGGCAAAUCUCUUUGAGCUGAGUUACUUAGACUUGAGUAACAAUAAACUAAAGGGUCGCAUACCAAGUGGUCCUCAGAUGGAUCGGAUGAACGAUCCAAAUUCUUAUGCCAACAACAGUGGAUUGUGUGGAAUGCAAAUUAAAGUAUCAUGUGAGAAGGUGCCUUCUGAACCAAAGCUGAAAGAGGGAAAGACUAAGAAAAGCAAUAGUUGGGAGAAAUGGUUUUCAUGGGAAAUGGCAGUGAUUGGAUAUCCAUCUGGGUUUUUGUCAACAGUUUUAGUUAUGUAUGUCAUUGGUUACUUUAAUAUUACAGCACAACCAGGUAGAAGAAAAAGAAGAAGAAGCCUUGUUAGGCAUGGUAUUUUUGGUUUUUUACGCAUUUGAUAUACGUUCUUAGUGUUUGCUAUUAUAAAUAAGGGCUUGUAAGGUCUUCAUGUUGUGUCCUUAGUUGCUGCACUGCUGCUUCCCUAUUUCCUUUGUUAUCUCAGUAGAUUGUUGCCUUUUUGCUUUUGUAUGUUGUGAUGUAUCUCCCAUCACCCCCUCAAAACUUAGUAAUUUUCUUGUUUAGACGUUGCUCAAAGACAUACGUAUGGGCUAAGUCACUCAAUUGCAGAUUAAUGCUUUCUUUUUGCUCUUCA